UACGAACCGUGCGAACGUUGUUCGGAAUCACUGGGCUUAAAGGGCGCGUAGGCGGGCGGUCAAGUCGGAGGUGAAAGCCUGCAGCUCAACUGCAGAAGUGCCCCCCGAUACUGAUGGCCUCGAGGGAGGUAGGGGCGUGCGGAACUUCCGGUGGAGCGGUGAAAUGCGUAGAUAUCGGAAGGAACACCGGUGGCGAAAGCGGCGCGCUGGACCUCUUCUGACGCUGAGGCGCGAAAGCCAGGGGAGCAAACGGG
rnacentral:rRNA from 1 species